rnacentral:rRNA from 1 species
UAGUGGCGAACGGGUGAGUAACACGUGAGUAACCUGCCCCUGACUCUGGGAUAAGCGUUGGAAACGACGUCUAAUACUGGAUAUGACUGCCGGCCGCAUGGUCUGGUGGUGGAAAGAUUUUUUGGUUGGGGAUGGACUCGCGGCCUAUCAGCUUGUUGGUGAGGUAAUGGCUCACCAAGGCGACGACGGGUAGCCGGCCUGAGAGGGUGACCGGCCACACUGGGACUGAGACACGGCCCAGACUCCUACGGGAGGCAGCAGUGGGGAAUAUUGCACAAUGGGCGAAAGCCUGAUGCAGCAACGCCGCGUGAGGGAUGACGGCCUUCGGGUUGUAAACCUCUUUUAGUAGGGAAGAAGCGAAAGUGACGGUACCUGCAGAAAAAGCACCGGCUAACUACGUGCCAGCAGCCGCGGUAAUACGUAGGGUGCAAGCGUUGUCCGGAAUUAUUGGGCGUAAAGAGCUCGUAGGCGGUUUGUCGCGUCUGCUGUGAAAUCCCGAGGCUCAACCUCGGGCUUGCAGUGGGUACGGGCAGACUAGAGUGCGGUAGGGGAGAUUGGAAUUCCUGGUGUAGCGGUGGAAUGCGCAGAUAUCAGGAGGAACACCGAUGGCGAAGGCAGAU